rnacentral:rRNA from 1 species
GCUAAACAGCUAGCUUAACCAUUUAACUAACUAUUACAAUAUUAAAAACACUAACAAAACUACAACGCCACAAACCAAAACAUUUUACCGCCCCAGUAUGUGUGACAGAAAAGGCACAAAUUAAAGCCAUAGAAAUAGUACCGCAAGGGAACGCUGAAAGAGAAAUGAAAUAACUCAUUAAAGCACAACAAAGCAGAGACUAACCCUCGUACCUUUUGCAUCAUGAUUUAGCCAGCCCCUCCGAGCAAAACGCAUUUUAGUUCGAAGCCCCGAAACUAAGUGAGCUACCCCGAGACAGCCUAUUAAUUAGGGCCAACCCGUCUCUGUGGCAAAAGAGUGGGAAGAUCCCCGGGUAGAGGUGACAGACCUACCGAACUUAGUUAUAGCUGGUUGCCUAAGAAAUGAAUAAAAGUUCAGCUCCGCACUCCUUAACUCAAAAACUAUAAACUAUGAGUCAAAGAAAUAUGCGGGAGUUAUUUAUAAGGGGUACAGCCCUUAUAAAACAGGAUACAACCUCACCAGGAGGUUAAAGAUUAUAUUAAACAAGAUAAACUGCUUUAGUGGGCCUAAAAGCAGCCAUCUAAGUAGAAAGCGUUAAAGCUCCGGCAGAACAAGAAUCCAUUAUCCAAAUAUUGAAUCUAAAACCCCUAAUACUAUUAGGCCACUCCAUGCCCCCAUGGAAAAGAUACUGCUAAAAUGAGUAAUAAGAAGGAACCCCCUUCUCCAAAGCCUACGUGUAUGCUAGAUCGGACUCCCCACUAGCAAUUAUCUGAACCCAAAUUAAGAGGGAAAUGUAAUUAUAUUAAAGACCAAGAAAUACUUACACAUACUAAUCAUUAACCCUACACCGGAAGGCUAUCAAGGAAAGACCAAAAGAAAAGGAAGGAACUCGGCAAACACAAGCCUCGCCUGUUUACCAAAAACAUCGCCUCCUGCAAAAUCAAUGUAUAGGAGGUCUUGCCUGCCCAGUGACAAGUUAAACGGCCGCGGUAUUUUGACCGUGCGAAGGUAGCGCAAUCACUUGUCUUUUAAAUGAAGACCUGUAUGAAUGGUGGAACGAGGGCUUAACUGUCUCCCUUUUCAAGUCAAUGAAAUUGAUCUACCCGUGCAGAAGCGGGUAUAAAAAUACAAGACGAGAAGACCCUUUGGAGCUUAAGACAAAAGAUCACCUACGUCAAGAACCUAAAAAUAAGUUAAACUAAGUAAUAACUGAUCCUAGUCUUCGGUUGGGGCGACCACGGGAGAAAAUAAAGCUCCCACGAGGACUGGGAUAUUCCCUAAAACCAAGAGAAACAUCUCUAAGUAUCAGAACCUCUGACCAUUAAGACCCGGCAGCCUGCCGAUCAACGAACCAAGUUACCCUAGGGAUAACAGCGCAAUCCCCUUUCAGAGUCCAUAUCGACAAGGGGGUUUACGACCUCGAUGUUGGAUCAGGACAUCCUAAUGGUGCAGCCGCUAUUAAGGGUUCGUUUGUUCAACGAUUAAAGUCCUACGUGAUCUGAGUUCAGACCGGAGCAAUCCAGGUCAGUUUCUAUCUAUAACGCCACUAUUCCUAGUACGAAAGGACCGGAAAAAGGGGGCCCCUGCUACAAGCACGCCCCACCCCAACUUAAUGAAACCAACUAAAUUAAGUAAAAGGAGGGCAUAAACCCAAAAUCUAGAUAAGAUU